ACGGCCUUCGGGUUGUAAACCUCUUUCAGUAGGGAAGAAGCGAAAGUGACGGUACCUGCAGAAGAAGCGCCGGCUAACUACGUGCCAGCAGCCGCGGUAAUACGUAGGGCGCAAGCGUUAUCCGGAAUUAUUGGGCGUAAAGAGCUCGUAGGCGGUUUGUCGCGUCUGCCGUGAAAGUCCGGGGCUCAACUCCGGAUCUGCGGUGGGUACGGGCAGACUAGAGUGAUGUAGGGGAGACUGGAAUUCCUGGUGUAGCGGUGAAAUGCGCAGAUAUCAGGAGGAACACCGAUGGCGAAGGCAGGUCUCUGGGCAUUAACUGACGCUGAGGAGCGAAAGCAUGGGGAGCGAACAGGAUUAGAUACCCUGGUAGUCCAUGCCGUAAACGUUGGGCACUAGGUGUGGGGGACAUUCCACGUUUUCCGCGCCGUAGCUAACGCAUUAAGUGCCCCGCCUGGGGAGUACGGCCGCAAGGCUAAAACUCAAAGGAAUUGACGGGGGCCCGCACAAGCGGCGGAGCAUGCGGAUUAAUUCGAUGCAACGCGAAGAACCUUACCAAGGCUUGACAUGAACCGGACCGGGCUGGAAACAGUCUUUCCCCUUUGGGGCUGGUUUACAGGUGGUGCAUGGUUGUCGUCAGCUCGUGUCGUGAGAUGUUGGGUUAAGUCCCGCAACGAGCGCAACCCUCGUUCUAUGUUGCCAGCACGUG
rnacentral:rRNA from 1 species